UACGUAGGGUGCGAGCGUUGUCCGGAAUUAUUGGGCGUAAAGAGCUCGUAGGUGGUUUGUCGCGUUGUCCGUGAAAUUCCCUGGCUUAACUGGGGGCGUGCGGGCGAUACGGGCAGACUGGAGUACUGCAGGGGAGACUGGAAUUCCUGGUGUAGCGGUGAAAUGCGCAGAUAUCAGGAGGAACACCGGUGGCGAAGGCGGGUCACUGGGCCGCAACUGACGCUGGAGGAGCGGAAAGCCAUGGGGAGCGAAACAGG
rnacentral:rRNA from 1 species